UGGAUUUCUCAGACUACAUCUGUGUUCUGGAGUGAAUACAGUGAGACUGACUUUUCUUGUUUUUCCAGUCUAAUUUGAAUUGGAGAGGGAUUUCAUCAGAAGCUGGCUUUCAUGUGGUUUUUAAAGAAAACUGGAAGAGCUCAAAGAGAUUCCUGGCUUCACUGCACCAUUUUAGCUCUUGCCUGGAAGUCUCCCAAAAUAAAUAAAUAAAUAAAUAGCAGAGAAAAACUGCAGACAGAAAUUAGUUCAUGCUUUUCUCACAUAACUUCUGCUACUCUUGAUCCUGAAUGAAGCCAGACAUCAAAACUAGACCUUGAGCAUACCAAUUCAAUAAGAAUAUGAGGAGUAACUUCUUUUAAUAACAUAGAUAUGUUUUCUGAAAAGCACAAAAAUACAAUUCAUUGCAAUUAAUCUUGUCUUGUAUCAGAAAUGUUGGCUCUAACAAUAAGAAAAAAAAAAGAAAUAGAAUGAAUAAGAGAAGACAAUAAGGAAGGAAAAUGACCACUCUUUACAGAUGAUACCAUAGUAUAUUUAGAGAAUCAACUAAAAACUGCUUGAAAUAAUUUACAACCUUGGCCAACUGGAAGGAUAUAAAAUAAACCCAAAUAAAUCAUCAUCAUUUCUACAUGUUGCCAAAAAAUCCCAGCAGCAAGAGAUAGAGAAAUUGCAUUUAAAAUUAAAUUUAAACAAAAUAAAAUUCUUGAGUAUCUACCUGUGCAAAGAAACCCAGAAACAGUAUAAGCACAAUUACCAAACUCCUUUUAAAUAAAGUCAGAUCUAAACCACUGGGAAAAUUUCAGUAUUUCUUGGACAGGACAAGUCAAUAUAAUAAAAAUGACCAAUUUAAUACUUAUGGACCUAUGAAUCAAGUUGUCUAAAACUUAAUGUAUAGGGCUAGAAAAAAAUAAAAAUAAAAUUGAUCCAGAAAUAAAAAAUAUCAUUUGAAUUAAUGGGAAAAAAUACAAAGGAUGGAGGGCUACCAUUAGCAGACCUCAAAGUGGCAGUCAUCAAAACCACCUGGUACUGGUUGAGAAAUAGAAUGGCAGAACAAGAGAAAAGGUUAGGUACAAAAGACAUAAUACUCAGUGACUAUAGUAAUCCAUUGUUUGAUAAAACCCAAAGACUCUAACUUUCUGGGAUAAGAACUUUUUGUCAAAAAUUGUUGAGAACAUUGGAAAAGAGUAUGUCAAAAAAAAAAAAAAAACUCAACGAAGACCUACAUCUCAAAUCCUAUACCAAAAAUGUUAUAUAAAUCAAAAUAAGUACAUGAGUGAAGUAUAAAGGGUGAUAGUAAUAAUAUAAGCAAAUUAAGAAAGCAAAUGAUAAUUUACUGAUCUUAUCUUUGGAGAAGGGGAAACUUAUGACUAAACAAGUCUUAAAACAACAUUAUGAAAUGCAAAAUGGAUUAUUUUUUUUACAUUACAUUAAAAACAUAUUUAUACAAAUGGAACCAAUGCAGCCCAGAUUAUAAAGAAUGCAGAAACAUGGACAAUAUUUUUUAAAUUUUUUAAAAUUGUUAUUAUUAUAGUUUUUUAUUUACAAAACAUAUGCAUGGGUAAUUUUUCAACAUUGACCCUUGCACAAUCUUCUGUUCUAACUUUUCCCUUCUUUCUUCCCACCCCAUCUCCCAGAUAGCAGGUAGUCCAAUACAUGUUAGAUAUGUUAAAGUAUAUGCUAAAUCCAACACACACACACACACACAUAUACAUAUACAUAAUAUAUAUUUAUACAGUUACCUUGCUGCACAAAAAAAAUUGGAUCUAGAAAGAAAGAAAAACAAACCUGAGAAGGAAAGCAAAAAUGUAGCAAACAAUGAGAGAAAGAGAGGAAAAUGCUAUGUUGUGGUCCACACUCAUUUCCCAUAAUUCUCUCUCUGGGUGUAGCUGACUCUUCAUUAUUGAACAAUUGGAACUGGUUUGAAUCAUCUCAUUGUUGAAGAGAGCCACAUCCAUCAGAAUUGAUCAUUGUAUAAUUCUGUUGUUACCAUGUAUAAUGAUCUCCUGUCUCUGCUCAUUUCACUUAGCAUCAAUUCAGGGGGAAGUGGGGGAGGAGCCAAGAUGGUGGUAAAUGCACACGUGACUUUCUGAGCCUCUCUCAUACCCUCAAUACCAAUUAUUAAAGUCAGCCUCAAAAAUAGCACUUGACUGGUAAAAUUCACAAAGAUUGGAAGUGCAAUAACUCACCAGCCGAAGAUAAUUUGGAAGAUCGCCAGAAAAGUCUGCUGCUACCACCACAACUGACCACUUCAAGAAACAACCAUAGUCCAGGACCUCAUGACAUUCUGAAAUUUACAACAUCACCUGGGCUUAUCCAUCCUGAGGUUUUGACUCAGUGACCUAGCGACUUUGGAAAAAGAUAAAUUUUCCACCAUUCCCUUACUCUACUUCCCCAUAAAGCUUUUUGAAGAGUCCUUAGGAUCGGAAGCCAUAAAGCAAAAGAACAUUUGGGGAGAGGGGCAGGGCUUUGAGCCCUCCCCCCGAUUUGUUCUUCAGCCAGUACUGUAGGUAUACAGAUAACUCUUAAUUAGUAUAAAUGAUUUCUCUAAAGUUGUCCCACAUAUUGACAUAAUUUUUAUACUUAUGUAAAACAUGGUCAUUGGUUCUAGCCCAGUUCCACCAUAUAGUGCAAAUCCAAUGAUGUAUGUAAUCUAUUUGCAAGAUUCAGUAUUUGCAUUAAUUGUAACCAUACUAAGUUCUAGCUUGAGAAGCAAUGGGAAAAUUUAACAUAUGCAGAUGCAAUCAGAUACAGACAUAAUAUCUUCUCAAAAACAGCUGGAGAAAAAGGCACUCAAUACCAAUAUGUCCCACAUGUAGGAAAACCAAGGAAAAAACUUCAAAAGAAUAGCUUUACUAAAUUUGAACUGGGUUCAAAUCUAGCCCCUUUCAUUUAAUAGCUGUGUCCCUUGCCAUGAAAGAGAGACAACUGUAUUUAAAGUGCCUAUUUCUUGUAAAUUUGCAGUAAAAAUAGAAUUAACAUAUGUAAAGUGUUAUAUGAACCAUAAGAUACUGGGUAUGUGGGAGUUAAUUAUAACAAUAAU